AUCACUUCUUGGGCUUUUGGCUAAGAUCAGGGGUAGUAUCUGUUCUUAUCAGUUUUACUAUCUGAUAUGCCCCCUCUAUGGGGCCUAUUAAAGGGAAUUUUAGAAUAGGGAGAUGGAAGAAAAGCAUUUUCUUUCCACUCCACGCCUUGACCUGGUAUUGCAGUACUUCCAGGAGCAGUACACAAUGC